AGCUGAGAGCAAAGGACUCCAAUGUCCCAGGAGAUGGCAAAAUCACAAGAGAGAAAGAAGCUGGCUUUCUGAAUUACCAGGUGGAAGGCAAACUUUACACAUCCCAGCGGACUGUCACAUCACUUGCUCCUGGGCCAGCCAGCUGCCAUGCCAUGAGUUCUAUGGGGAGGCCCAUGUGGUAAAGGACAGGUCUGCCAACAACCACGUGAGUGAAUUUAGAAAGAGCCUUCUCCCAGCCUUCAAAAGAGCACGCAACCCCAAUGACAGCUUUGUCUGCAACCUCAGGGAAGACCUUGAGCCAACAGCACCCAGCUAUGCCACACCCAGAUUCCUGACCCACAGAAACCGUGAGGCAAAAACUAUUCACUGAGCAAGUAAUCAACAAGUGCAACAACAAGUGCAUAUAAAUAUAUUAACACAGCACAAAAGGAAUGUGUAAGUCAUCACCAAAUGAAGCAAAGUGUUUUAGACUCAGAAGUUACUCGGAACCAUAAGACAAUGAUUUUUCAACAGAAUAUGUCUCCUUCCUUCACCAUGGCUAUUUCUCUUUAAGUGCUGUGCAUCCUACUGUCUUUGCCUACACGCUGCCAACACUUGACAAAUGGACUCUGAAUGACUGAUGGUCAUGUCCAUUGCAUGAUAUCUCCUGAUAAUGAAGGCUCAUUGGAACACAGAAAUGUUCUUACCACUGUAAGGUUCAAUAAUCAUACAGCAACUCACUUCAUGAGUACUGAACACAGAAAGAAGUUCUCUUCAUCCAAGUUACGGAUUCUCUCUGACUUAUUCAACCAUGAGGGUCUUGGCUUUCCAUCCUUGGGGUCCUUGCCUUGUUGUUCCUCAAGCAUUGUUCACGACAUUCAAGAUACGGAAACAACCUAAGUGUCUGUCUACAGACGAGUGGGUAAAGAAGAUGUGGCCUAUAUAUACAAUGGAAAAUUAUUCAACCAUGAGAAAGAGGAAAAUCCUGCCAUUUGCAACAGCAUGGAUGGACAUC